rnacentral:SRP_RNA from 2 species
GCUGGGCGUGGUGGCUCACGCCUGUAAUCCCAGCACUUUGGGAGGCCGAGGCGGGUGGAUCACCUGAGGUCAGGAGUUCAAGACCAGCCUGACCAACAUGGAGAAACCCUGUCUCUA